rnacentral:misc_RNA from 1 species
GAUGAAGAACGCAGCGAAAUGCGAUAAGUAAUGCGAAUUGCAGAAUUCAGUGAGUCAUCGAAUCUUUGAACGCACAUUGCGCCCUGUGGUAUUCUGCAGGGCAUGCCUGUUCGAGCGUCAUUUCAACCCUCAAGCCUCGCUUGGUGUUGGGCCCUGCCCGCCGCGGCCGGCCCUAAAGAUAGUGGCGGCGCCGCCUGGCCCUCAGCGUAGUACAGCUCUCGCUCCAGGGUCCGGCGGCAGCCUGCCAGAACCCCCCAACUCUGUGGUUGACCUCGGAUCAGGUAGGGAUACCCGCUGAACUUAAGCAUAUCAAUAAGCGGAGGA